GAGGCAUCAGUGAAAUCUUCCUGCUGCAUACUGGUACGUUAUGUCAAGAGGGAGAUUACUAACUCUUUGCAUUUCUGAGGGAGUUUCCUUUGUAGAAAUGUUAACCCACUGCUAUCCGUGCUCGUUGCUUUCAGCGCUCAGAAGAAUGAGGUACUGUAUAAGAAACACUUGGAAGAAAGUGCAUGCCAUACACCAGAGGUUCACCAGUGUGGAGUGUGGAGCUUCUCCGGUUCUCGGGACCUUUUAGCACCCCAAAGUGCAGGAGAUCCCCCUGGAAGGAGUGUUGGGUUGUUGUGGGGUCACAGGGAGCAGAACACCCCUGAAAUGAGACCAGAAGGUCAGGAAUGGACAGAGCAUGAACUCGGCAGAAGAGGGGUGGCUCAGGCAGCGACCAUAUGUCUAAUCUGAUCCCGGUGCAUGUGAGCAGAACCUACCCCAGCCUGACUCUAUUGCAACCCUCUCCUCUCUGUGCUGGCGCGGAAAAGUCCAAUCCAGACAGCAGGAGGGCACAGGUGUAAACCGCGAACAGGAAGGACUGCUUUACACAAAGGGUGGUGGGAGCGCGGAACAACCUACCCAGCCACCGUGUGGAAGGCAUUAGCCUGGGCUCUUUCAAGCACUACAGAAAAAGGUAUCCCUUUAAAAAUAUGUAAGCUAUAUAUUAAAGUUAUUUUUAGUCAACACUAUAAAAGGAGUGAACUUAUUUUAGUGUUGGUAUUUGUGUCUCUUGGUCAUGCAAAUAAUAUUCCAAUUUAAACAAGCGAGGGAUUGGGAAAACAAUAUAGGAUUUAGAGGCUGAUGGGCAGAAACAAGUGGGAUCUGCUACUGCUCAGACUGGGGAGGAGAGUGCUGCACAUAUUCUGCAGUCAGGAGAGAGGCAUCCUUUAUGGACCAGACCGUCUGGAGAGACAGGG